UAACCUGCCUCUUAGCGGGGGAUAACUAUUGGAAACGAUAGCUAAUACCGCAUAAAAGUCGAUAUCGCAUGAUAUUGAUUUGAAAGGUGCAAUUGCAUCACUAAGAGAUGGACCUGCGUUGUAUUAGCUAGUUGGUGAGGUAACGGCUCACCAAGGCGACAUACAUAGCCGACCUGAGAGGGUGAUCGGCCACACUGGGACUGAGACACGGCCCAG
rnacentral:rRNA from 1 species